rnacentral:sRNA from 1 species
GACUGAUUAGCAAUUAUCGCCGACACUGGCUACUGUUAAUGUAACCAGAUCGAUAGGAUUGGAGCGGUCAGUGACAUUUCGCAAAGCGG